rnacentral:rRNA from 1 species
UACGAAGGGGGCUAGCGUUGUUCGGAAUUACUGGGCGUAAAGCGCACGUAGGCGGCUUUCUAAGUCGGGCGUGAAAUCCUGGAGCUCAACUCCAGAACUGCCUUCGAUACUGAAGAGCUUGAGUCCGGGAGAGGUGAGUGGAACUGCGGGUGUAGAGGUGAAAUUCGUAGAUAUUCGCAAGAACACCAGUGGCGAAGGCGGCUCACUGGCCCGGUACUGACGCUGAGGUGCGAAAGCGUGGGGAGCAAACAGG